rnacentral:rRNA from 1 species
UACAGAGGGGGCAAGCGUUGUUCGGAAUUACUGGGCGUAAAGGGCGCGUAGGCGGCCUGCUAAGUCGAACGUGAAAUCCCUGGGCUCAACCCAGGAACUGCGUCCGAUACUGGUUGGCUUGAAUCCGGGAGAGGGAUGUGGAAUUCCAGGUGUAGCGGUGAAAUGCGCAGAUAUCAGGAGGAACACUGGUGGCGAAGGCGGAUCUCUGGGCCAUUACUGACGCUGAGGAGCGAAAGCGUGGGGAGCGAACAGG